rnacentral:rRNA from 1 species
CAACCUGCCCACCACUUGGGGAUAACCUUGCGAAAGUAAGACUAAUACCCAAUGACGUCUCUNNNNNACAUCUGAAGGAGAUUAAAGAUUUAUCGGUGAUGGAUGGGGGUGCGUCUGAUUAGCUUGUUGGCGGGGUAACGGCCCACCAAGGCGACGAUCAGUAGGGGUUCUGAGAGGAAGGUCCCCCACAUUGGAACUGAGACACGGUCCAAACUCCUACGGGAGGCAGCAGUGAGGAAUAUUGGUCAAUGGACGAGAGUCUGAACCAGCCAAGUAGCGUGCAGGAUGACGGCCCUAUGGGUUGUAAACUGCUUUUAUAAGGGAAUAAAGUGAGUCUCGUGAGACUUUUUGCAUGUACCUUAUGAAUAAGGACCGGCUAAUUCCGUGCCAGCAGCCGCGGUAAUACGGAAGGUCCGGGCGUUAUCCGGAUUUAUUGGGUUUAAAGGGAGCGUAGGCCGGAGAUUAAGCGUGUUGUGAAAUGUAGACGCUCAACAUCUGAGUUGCUGUUGGAACUGCGGACCUUGAGUACGCGCAAGGGCGGCGGAACUUGUGGUGUAGCGGUGAAAUGCUUAGAUAUCACGAAGAACUCCGAUUG